GGGGGGGCGCCGGUUCCUGGGCUGUGGCCCUGGCGCCCUGUGCUCCCAGGCCUGCGCUGUUGGAUUCGUGCUUCUGGCCGCGCAGCCCCCU
rnacentral:pre_miRNA from 1 species